AAUUCUCUAUUAGUAGACGAAUGUGAAUAGUUUGAGGUUGUCUUCGGAAUUCGUUGCACAAUAACAGGUUGAGAUAGUUUAGAAAAGUUUAUGUCUCUGUGAAAUACACCCUCACGUUUAGGCUGAAUUGCAGUAUUUCAUAUAAACUAAUAUUUAUUUAUUUAUAUAUUAAUUUAUUUUUUUCUUGUUUGAUCUUCUUGGAGUCACAUGAAUCUUCGUUGUUUGUGUUACAAAUGCCGUUUGAUUAGCAAAGCAACAAAAAGUCAUAAAGUCGGUGCUUCAUUUUAAACUGUUAUGCCUCAAUUUGUAGUAUCAUAAAACCGAAUGAUAUGCGAUAUUAAAGCCGUGUUUAUUGUUGCUUUCAAUGAAGAAAAUUAAAGCGAAGAUCAAAUAUUAAUUAAACAAUAACGCUUUGUUUCAAAUCCGAUUGGUUUUACAAUAAUCCCAUUUCAAUAACAUUUUCAAAUCGUUGUCGGAUACACAGGCUUACAAGCUUGAGAUACUUUUGUAUUGAAAUUGAAAUCACAUGUUCGUUGGUUUUUACUGUCAAAGUUUUUAUUAAUUUAUUAUGCGGCAGUGAAAAAGAUAAUUUUCGAAUGAUAUUUGGUUCACUAUUUAGCGAUCAGUUCGGAGCUGGAGAUUGGUGGCGAUUGGCAAAUACAAAUCAUUUUCAAUUUUUUUCCGAUCAAUAACAUCCAUUUUCAUAGCACAUAUUUUUUUAAACAAUUGGAAAGAAAACAAAAUUUUUAUUAAAGCAACAUUGGUGAAAGAAAUUUACUACCAGUCAAGUAUCAAGAGUACAUUUAAGGAAUCCAACAAAACCAAAAGAAGAGAAUAUGGUGCUACCACGCUUUGGGUUAAGUCUAAUGUCCACAGGAAGAGAUAUAUACGAAUCGUGGUGUUUCGUUAUAUUAGGAGUCAUUUUGCAUGUUUCGGAGAUGAAUUUCAUCAACUCAAUGCUCGGUAUUGGUGUAAAUAUAGUACCAAAUUUUGAAUCCGUAUUGUUUCUGAGUUCUUUGAUUUUGCUUCUCAGUCGCUUUCUAUUCCGAUAUCCAGAAAGAACCUCGCCUUACCUAAUAUUCGUAGUGACAUCAUUGAGACUUGUUAUUAAUGUAGUUGUCUCCGAAUUAAUAAUGAGUUAUGUGUGGAUCCCUGCAGGACUAAAACUAUACAACUUGUUUUUGUAUAUGGGUUACCCUUACAAGAUAUCUAUUGCUUUUCGUUUAGUUCGUAUUUUGAUAACUUUUCACGUUUGUUAUCUGUUAACGAGUUUCGCUGGGUUUUAUAAGAUGAUUUGGUUUCUCAACAAAUAUAAAAAAUAUGAUAAUAGGAAUGCUGUGGGAAGAAAACACCGCCGUAAAAUAAAACGAAACAAUUAGAAGAUAUAAAUGCAAAUGUGGAUGGGGCAAAUGUGGAUGGGAAAAGAAGAGUACUUAUAAUGAAGUGUAGGAGUAUGUUAUAAAAAAAUUACAAGAAAAACUUUCAACUCAUUUAAUUAAACAGAAGAAAUAUAGGAUAUUCAUGAAAUUGAUAAAAUCGAAUUUUUUUAACAUUAGAUUACCGUUUGUUACUGAAGUCUGUGAGCACAAUUGGAGUAUCAUGUAAACCCUCGGAAAUUGUAGGUAUGCUACGAUUUUAUUUCUAUAAUAUUUCUCUUCUCAAAUGAUUCCAGAUGAUUCCUAUAGCAAUUAAUAAUAGUAAACAUCAUAUGUUGUUAGAAAUAUGUGAUGUUCCUUAAAUGAUCUUUUUUUAUCUAAAUCUAUUAUGUUGGUAUAUGACUGUCUCGGAGACGACCUCAAUUAUUCAAAAAUUCAAUUCAACGGGAAAUUAAAGGGAGCUCACAAUUUUUUUGAUUGCCAUGUAAUAUAUAAAACUCAACGUUAAUAAUGUACUCUUCGAUUAACAUUUUAAUGCUCAGUAUAUCUAUAAUCAUGUGUUUAAAAUUUAUUUUAUAAUUAUGUUGUUAUAAGAGAAUACAUCAUAUACAUAACGAAAUAAUAAUUUUGUUCUCCAUUCUA